UACAGAGGGUGCAAGCGUUGUUCGGAAUUAUUGGGCGUAAAGCGCGUGUAGGCGGCUUGGCAAGUCGGGUGUGAAAUCCCUCAGCUUAACUGAGGAAGUGCGCCCGAAACUGCCGAGCUUGAGUACCGGAGAGGGUGGCGGAAUUCCCCAAGUAGAGGUGAAAUUCGUAGAUAUGGGGAGGAACACCGGUGGCGAAGGCGGCAACCUGGACGGAUACUGACGCUGAGACGCGAAAGCGUGGGGAGCAAACAGG
rnacentral:rRNA from 1 species